CCCUUAGAUGUUCUGGGCCGCACGCGCGCUACACUGAUGCAUUCAACGAGUCCAACCUUGACCGAGAGGUCCGGGUAAUCUUUGAAACUGCAUCGUGAUGGGGCUAGAUUAUUGCAAUUAUUAAUCUUCAACGAGGAAUGCCUAGUAAGCGUGAUUCAUCAAAUCGCGUUGAUUACGUCCCUGCCCUUUGUACACACCGCCCGUCGCUCCUACCGAUUGAGUGUGUUGGUGAGGAGUUUGGAUUGGCCUCGGAAGGUGGUUCGCCACCGUCCGUAGCUGAGAAGUUCUCCAAACCGCCCCACUUAGAGGAAGGAGAAGUCGUAGCA
rnacentral:rRNA from 1 species